UCGGGGAAGAGGAAAACAAUAAAACCACCAACAAUAAAGUAUAAUAAUAAUUUGAUUAAAAUUUUAAAAUGUCAAACAAAUUUGUAAUUGCUUUAUUGUUGGUGGUGGUGUGCUUUGUAACGGUUCAAGGUCAGAAUAUUACCUAUAAUGCAAAUUCAGGUGAAGUUAGUGUGUCUCAUGAAGAUUGCUAUGAUUAUUGCACUGGUGAUAGUAAAUUGCCCGCAUGGCUCAUAGACUUUUUGUGUAGAGAGCUUUGUCAUUUCUUCAAUCAUGUCCGGAUCUUUUGAUCGUAUUGGCGCAAGAAAGCAUGGUUGAAUUGGUGCUCCGACAGGUUAUUCUGGCCAAGCUACAUAUGCUUAUAGAGCAUAAUGGAUUCAACCAAAAACACAAGUUUAACCUAUCUCAUCAUCCUCUUUCCCCUCGUUUUCAUCAAUUAAUUUGUAAACUAUUAUAUAUAUAAAGUCAUUUGUUAUAAGUUAAA